UGUCUUGAAUCCAAUUUUACAAGAAAGCCAACUCAUCAAGGAUUCACUGAGGCUUGGAAUCUCAUGAAACGCUUCACGGAUGAAGAAGUUAUGAAUUUUCCAAACCGGAGGUUCUUCAGUCCAUCUAUCCGCGAGUACCAGAUUUCUAAAGGAGAUUCAUGCCCCAGAAAGAAUCGACCUGAGCCAAAACCGAUCCUCCAUGAACCAACGGUGUUUCCUCGGUCAUUCUCCUGUCUAAACCAAAAUCACUUUGCUUUGAAUAAACAGGAUAAGCAUGAUCAGUUUCUAAGGAGAGCAAGCACCAAUGGACGCCAAAGUACUUGGAAUUCCUUGAUAAAAAUGACUUCAAAACUCCAAGGAAGUUUCUGUCCAUUCUAUUCAUUUACUGAAUUUUCCUUGAAUUUUAAUUCUUUUGUACCUGAUUUAUCUUUUUUCGAUAUAGGUACAUUGGAUUUGAGGACAAAUCCUUUUGAAGAAAGAGGGAAUGAUAGACCGCGGUCCACGGAUCAGUAUGGAGCUGAACCAGCAUGAAGUUCAGGACGUUCUAAAGUUUUCAACCGAGGUUCAUGAU